UACGGGGGGGGCAAGCGUUGUUCGGAAUUACUGGGCGUAAAGGGCUCGUAGGUGGCCAACUAAGUCGGACGUGAAAUCCCUCGGCUUAACCGGGGAACUGCGUCCGAUACUGGAUGGCUUGAGUUUGGGAGAGGGAUGCGGAAUUCCAGGUGUAGCGGUGAAAUGCGUAGAUAUCAGGAGGAACACCAAUUGCGAAGGCAGCUCGCUGGGACGUUACUGACGCUGAGACGCGAAAGCGUGGGGAGCAAACAGG
rnacentral:rRNA from 1 species